CCUCCUGGGUGAAGAUCAGUGGAUCAGGUGGAUGUUUGGCACAACCCGACCAAUGAAGCAGGAGAUUUUGAGCAGCAAGAGGAAAACUCUGAAGUUGUUUCAGCAGGACACUUUCAAGAUGAUGGUUGAUACAAAAUACAGAAGCAAUCAAAAGACCAAGUUUUGAUAUUUGACACCAAGUGGCAACCCAACAU